UUAAAAAUCUUACUCUCUAUUUAUUAUGCUUUAACAAGAGAAAGAAAGAAAACAGAAAACAAAUCUCUUCUAUAGCAGACUUAACAAAAAUUUCAGCUGAGACUUAAACCGACUUUUUCAAGGAAAUGAAAUUAGGAGAACAAAAACACUUUGAAGUGGACUGCAUAUAUAUACUCAAAAAUAACAUACAACUUGAGUCAGUAAUGGUAAAGAAAACGAACGUACACAGACGGGUUUGGAUUUAGAUGAUGAAGAAUGCACUGAAAGCUUUGCAUUUGAGUUCUCUUUUUCGGGUGAGUAAGUUAGGGAACUGCAAGGCCGAUCAAUUUGAAAAAAGAAAAAAGAAAAAAACUAAAAUGUAAACGCAGCUUGAACUUGAUUUCUUUUGGUUUUUGGGGAGGGGACGGGGGGAGGGGAGGGAAUGUAUACGCAGCUUCAAACUUGGUUUCUUUUCGUUUUUUUCCCCGGGGGUGUGGAGGCCUGGAGGGAAUGUAAACGAACUAACGAAGCCUCAAUCCUCAUGCAGCUGUAUUUAUAUGAAGUGGGUACUGCUGACUGAUCCACGAAGGAAGACUUUUGAUGUCAUUGGUGUUUCUUUAUUUUUGACCUUUUAGCUAGAUGACAGAAGAAUGCCGAGUGCUACGGACACUCGCGAGUGUCUCAAUCGCGGCUCUCUAUAUAGACACGUGUCUAUCAAAAUGAAACCUUAUCAGAGAGACAGCCGCAAGUAUGACGAGACAAGCGCGAUCGUAAGGAUGGAAGCCGCAAGUAUGAAGAGACAGGCCCAAUCCACAACGAUCCAAGAGCAAUCAUUACCUGCAAACUCAACACAACACCUAAUUAACUUCAAACCCCACCAUAAAUCCACCAACAGUCACUAUUCGAAACAAAUCUACCUCAAAUGCGACGUCAAAUAAAAGGAAUAAAAAGGUUUCCUUAAAAGAGAGAGAGCUGCGAGUAUGAAGAGACAAGCACGGUCCACAACGAUCGAAGGCUGUGUGGUAUGUGUCUUGUAUAGAUUGAACAGAGCAAUCAUUACCUGCAAAACUGAACCAAACACUCAAUUAACAAACAAAUUUCAAUUUGAAACCCGACCUUAAAUCCACCAUUGGGCACUAUUCGACACAAAUCUACUUGAAAUCCGACAACAAAUAAAAGGAAAAAAAAUUCUAAAUCAACAUCGAAAUGAAACCUUUAUAAGAGAGAAAGCCGCAAGUACGAAGAGAUCUGAAGUCCUGUUGGUAUAUGUCUUGUAUAGAUUGACAGAGCAAUCAAAGGCCGUGUCGACCAGAGCAAUCGCAGAAUAGAAGAGAUAAGAGAGGAAAAAAGAAGGAAGAGGAGAGCUGCAGCAGCAAAUGAUCAGAGCAAUCAUUACCUGCAAAACUCAACACAACACCAAAUUAACAACCAACAUUUCAAUUUCAAACUUAACCUUAAAUUGAAACAAAUCUACUUGAAAAUAAAAGAAUAAGCAACUCCGAAUCAAAAUCGAAAUGAAACCUUUUAUAACAGAGACAGCCGCGAGUAUGAAGAGACAGGCACAAUCUGCAGCGAUCGAAGAGAAAUCACCACUACCUGCAAAACUCAACACAACGCCUGAUUAACAACAAACAUGCCAAUUUCAAACCCACCUUAAAUCCACCAACAGACACUAUAACUUGAAAUGCAAUAUCAAAUAAAAGGAACAAGUAGUCUAAAUCAAAAUCAAAACGAAACCUUAUAAAAGAGACAGCCGCAAGUCUGAAGAGACCAGCACGAUCCUAAAGGAUCAAAGCCGCAAGUAUGAACAGACCUGAUUAACAACAAACACCUGAUUACCUGCAAAACUCAACACAACACCUGAUUAUCAACAAACAUUUCAAUUUCAAACCCAAAACAAAUCUACUUGAAAAAAAAAAAAAAACAACUCCAAAUCAAAAUCGAAAUGAAACCUUAUUAGAAAGACAGCCGCAAGUAUGACGAGACAAGCACGAUCGUAAAGGAUGGGAGCCGCAAGUAUGAAGAGACAGGCCCAAUCCACAACGAUCCAAGAGCAAUCAUUACCUGCAAACUCAACACAACACCUAAUUAACUUCAAACCCCACCAUAAAUCCACCAACAGUCACUAUUUGAAACAAAUCUACCUCAAAUGCGACAUCAAAUAAAAGGAAUAAAAAGGUUUCCUUAAAAAAGAGUCCACAACGAUCGAAGGCUGUGUUGUAUGUGUCUUGUAUAGAUUGAACAGAGCAAUCAUUACCUGCAAAACUGAACCAAACACUCAAUUAACAAACAAAUUUCAAUUUGAAACCCGACCUUAAAUCCACCAUCGGGAACUAUUCGACACAAAUCUACUUGAAAUCCGACAACAAAUAAAAGGAAAAACAAGUCUAAAUCAACAUCGAAAUGAAACCUUUGUAAGAGAGAAAGCCGCAAGUAUGAAGAGAUCUGAAGUCCUGUUGGUAUAUGUCUUGUAUAGAUUGACAGAGCAAUCAAAGGCCGUGUCGACCAGAGCAAUCGAAGAGUAGAAGAGAUAAGAGAGGAAAAAAGAAGAAGAGGAGAGCUUCAGCAGCAAAUGAUCAGAGCAAUCAUUACCUGCAAAACUCAACACAACACCAAAUUAACAACCAACAUUUCAAUUUCAAACCCAACCUUAAAUUGAAACAAAUCUACUUGAAAAAUAAAGGAAAAAGCAACUCCAAAUCAAAAUCGAAAUGAAACCUUUUAAAACAGAGACAGCCGCGAGUAUGAAGAGACAGGCACAAUCCGCAGCGAUCGAAGAGAAAUCAUCACUACCUGCAAAACUCAACACAACGCCUGAUUAACAACAAACAUGCCAAUUUCAAACCCAACCUUAAAUCCACCAACAGACAGACACUAUAACUUGAAAUGCAAUAUCAAAUAAAAGGAAAAACAAGUCUAAGUCAACAUCGAAAUGAAACCUUUAUAAGAUAGAAAGCCGCAAGUACGAAGAGAGAAGCGCGAUCCUAAAAGAUCUGAAGUCGUGUUGUAUAUAUGUCUUGUAUAGAUUGACAGAGCAAUCAAAGCCCGUGUCGACCAGAGCGAUCGAAGAGGAGAAGAGAGAAGAGAGAAAAAGAGAAGAGGAGGAGAACUGCAGCAGCAAAUGAGCAAAGGGAGCUCA
rnacentral:lncRNA from 1 species